rnacentral:rRNA from 1 species
AACGAACGCUGGCGGCAUGCCUAACACAUGCAAGUCGAACGAGACCUUCGGGUCUAGUGGCGCACGGGUGCGUAACGCGUGGGAAUCUACCCUUGGGUUCGGAAUAACUCAGAGAAAUUUGAGCUAAUACCGGAUGAUGUCGCAAGACCAAAGAUUUAUCGCCCAAGGACGAGCCCGCGUAGGAUUAGCUUGUUGGUGAGGUAAAAGCUCACCAAGGCGACGAUCCUUAGCUGGUCUGAGAGGAUGAUCAGCCACACUGGGACUGAGACACGGCCCAGACUCCUACGGGAGGCAGCAGUGGGGAAUAUUGGACAAUGGCGAAAGCCUGAUCCAGCAAUGCCGCGUGAGUGAUGAAGGCCUAGGGUUGUAAAGCUCUUUUACCCGGGGAUGAUAAUGACAGUACCGGGAGAAUAAGCCCCGGCUAACUCCGUGCCAGCAGCCGCGGUAAU